AGCAGCGGCCUCGGCCACGCUCCGCACACACUCACUCACUUCCGCUCCGACUCCGCCCACUCACUCAGUCCAUGCACACACGAGAGAGAGAGAGAGAGAGAGAAAUAGAUAGAUAGAUACUGACAGACAGAUAGAGAGAGAGAGAGAGAGACAGGUAGAGAGAGAGAGAGAGAUACAGAGACAGGUAGAGAGAGAGAGAUGUAGAGAGAGACAGGUAAAGAGAGAUACAAAGAGAGAGGUAGAGAGAGAGACAGGUAGAGAGAGAGAGAGAGAGAUACAAAGAGAGAGGUAGAGAGAGAGAGAGAGAGAGAGGGACAGGUAGAGAGAGAGAUACAGAGAGAGACAGGUAGAGAGAGAGAGAGAGAGAGAGAGAGAGAGAGAGAAAUGAGAUACAGAGAGGGACAGGUAGAGAGAGAGAGAGAAAGACAUGGAGAGAAAGACAGAUGCAGAGAUACACAGAGAGAUGGACAGAAAGAUAGAUACAGAAAAAGAGAGGCAGGUACUGUAGAUAAAUACAGAGAGAGACCGGUAGAGAGAGAGAGAUAGAGAUAGAGAGAGAGAUACAGGUAGAGACUGAAAGACAGACGGAGGGAGAGAGACCGAGGCCGUGGAUGUCUGAAUUGUCAGUAGGUGAGAAAAGCCGGAUGGUGUACUGCUUCCGGCGGGAUUUUGCAGCGUGCAACCGACGGACACUGGACACUGCACGAGUCAAAAAUCCCACCGGUGCGGACGAGCUCAGGAAAUAAAUGUCGGAGGACAGCGUCGGCUCUUUAAGUAUUAAACCUCGGUUAAACGGGAAUUAUUUAACAAUACCCGAAUACAUCAUCGACUUAUUGAAGGGUUAAAGAAGUAAACGUUAAAAUCUUUUUUGUGAUCUCCAUCA
ensembl:lncRNA